UAAGGAAUAUUCCACAAUGGGGGAAACCCUGAUGGAGCAACGCCGCGUGCAGGAUGAAGGCCCUCGGGUCGUAAACUGCUUUUAUGGGUGAAUAAUAUGAAUGUAACCCUUGAAUAAGCACCGGCUAACUACGUGCCAGCAGCCGCGGUCAUACGUAGGGUGCAAGCAUUAUCCGGAGUGACUGGGCGUAAAGAGUUGCGUAGGUGGUUUGUCUAGUGAAUAGUGAAAUCUGGUGGCUCAACCACACAGACUAUUAUUCAAACUGGCAGACUCGAGAGUAGCAGAGGUAACUGGAAUUUCUAGUGUAGGAGUGAAAUCCGUAGAUAUUAGAAGGAACACCGAUGGCAUAGGCAGGUUACUGGGCUAUUUCUGACACUGAGGCACGAAAGCGUGGGGAGCGAACC
rnacentral:rRNA from 1 species